rnacentral:tRNA from 1 species
GAGGUUGUAGCUCAGUGGUAGAGCACCUGCCUACCACGUAUGAGGCACUGGGUUCAAUCCUCAGCACCACA